GACGAACGCUGGCGGCGUGCUUAACACAUGCAAGUCGAACGGAGUGGCGAAAGGGUGAGUAACACGUGGAUGACCUGCCCUGCACUUCGGGCUAAGCCUGGGAAAAUGGGUCUAAUCACGGAUAGUGUGGUAUGGGCCCGCGGCCUAUCCGCUUGUUGGUGGUGUAAUGGCCUACCAAGGAGGCGACGGGUAGCCGGCCUGAGAGGGGGGACGGCCACAUUGGGACUGAGACACGGACCAGACGCCUACGGGAGGCAGCAGUGGGGAAUAUUGCACAAUGGGCGGAAGCCUGAUGCAGCGACGCCGCGUGGGGGAUGACGGCCUUCGGGUUGUAAACUCCUUUCACCAUCGACGCGGUAGAUGGAGAAGAAGCACCGGCUAACUACGUGCCAGCAGCCGCGGUAAUAC
rnacentral:rRNA from 1 species